AAAAAAAAAAAAAAACCCGAGAGAGAAAGAGAAGAGGGAGAAAAAAGAAAAAAAAGAUAGAAGAAAUUAAAUCAACAGAGAAGAAAAGAGUAAAUGGAGAAAAAAAAGUACAGAAAAGAAGAAAAAAAACAGAAAAAGAGGAAAAAAUUAAAAGGAGAGUAAAAGAGGAGAAAGAGAGAGAGAUAAAUGAGAAGGAGCAAAGAAAGAAAGAAGAAAUGAGAGACUCAAAAGAGAGAAAAUAGAGAAAGAAAACCAAGCAAAUAAAGAAAAGCAAAGGAAGAAAAGCAAAGAAAAGGGAAAGAAAAAAAAAAGACAAAGGGAAAAAAGAAAGAAAGAGAAGCAAAGAAAAAAAAAUAACUAAAAGGAAAGCAAAGACAGAGAGAGAAAGAAGAGCAAAUAAAUAGGGAAGAGCAAAGAGAGGGGAGGCGAACGAGCUCACUCUGAAGCUGAAGGAAUACCACAGGAACCCUUCCACACAGUUUUCAACUUUACAAAGAAGAAUCCUUGACCAAACUCAGUUUAUCCUACCUUGUCAUAUCUCAAUAUUCAUUGGAAUAUCUAUUUAUGUAUACAUUAUAUAUAUAUAUAUAUAUUCACUUAGUAAAUGUAGAUAUGUAUGUCUAUAAUUUCAAUUUAUUAAAAUAUAUUUCUAAGGGCUUCUAGGGAAAAAAAAAAAAAAAAAAAAGCCCAAAUUUAACAUCAAGCUGUCCCACUAUGAUAAAUUGUUUUAGCAGUACCAUAGCAGUUGCUGGUAAGUGGUAAACUGAACUGAAUUAGAUGCUUUUUUUUGUUUAGCCUCUCACACUUUUCUUUCAGUGUCUCAUAGGAAUCACACUAGUAAUUGCCAUGAGUUAUAAGCUAAUACAAUUGAGGAAGACCAGGAUCUCUAAGGCUUAGUGACCAAUUGCUGCGAUAAAGAAUCACAGUUUCACGUGGCAGAAUAUAUCACAGAAUACCAGAACAGUUGAGGUUGUAUGGGACCUCUGAUUUUAUCUGCUACAUCUUCAAGCAGGACACUCAGAGCAGGAUGCCCAGACUCAUGACCUGGCCACUUUUGAAGGUAUCCAAGGAGAAGACUCUACCACCUCUGGGCAACCUGUGCCAGUGCUCCAUCAACCACACAGCACAGAAGUGCUUCCUGAUGAUUGUAUGGAACUUCCUGUGUCCAUCUUUGGGCUCAGUGCCUCUUGUUCUGGCCCUGGACAUCUCUGAGGACAGCCUGGCUCCAACUUCUUUGUGGCCUUCCUUCAGGUAUUUGUAUGCACUGAUGAGAUCUUCCUGAGUCUCCUCCUCUCCAGGCUGAAGAGUUCCAGCUCUCUCAGAGGAAAGGUGCUCCAAUCUUGUCAUUAUCUUGGUGGUCCUAUAUUAGACUCUUUCUAGUAUGUCCACAUCUCUGGUGCUGGGGAGCCCAGAACUGGACACACUACUCCACGUGCAGCCUCAUCAAUACUGAGCAAAGGGGAAGCAUUACCUCUCUUGAACUGUUGGUAAUACUUUGCCUAAUGCAGCCAAGAACACUAUUAACUCUUCUCCAAGGGCACUUUGCUGGCUCAUGUUCAAUUUGGUGUCCACCAGCACUUGGUGCCUGUGGCUGUUUCGCCUCGGGUGCAGCACUGUACUUCCUCUUGCUGAACUCCAUGAGGUUCUAGUCAACCCACCUCUUCAACCUCUUGAUGUCCUUCUGGAUGGCUGUGCAGCCCUCAUGAGUCAGCCACUCCCCUCUGUUUUGUGUACAGUACGCAUAUGUUGCCCACUUGGUAUCACGCUGUGGUGUGCUAUGUAUCUCUGAAAGCUUCUCCUGUUGUAAUGCCUCCAGGAAAAUAAAGCUCCCCUUUGCACAUUGCCCCUUCUCCUCGACACUCAUACAGCCAAAAAAAAUCUUUUGGCAAUUGUAGAUUAUUUGAAGUCACUUGGAUUUUCUUUCUGAUAAAAUGACUAGGGUGGCAGCUCCCUAGUGUUUCCUGUAAGCCCUUUUGCCAGUGACAGACGUCAUUUUCACUCACCUCAGCACAGUUGCUGCUACUGAGACAAGGUACAAGAAUGUUAUCCUUUGAACAUUAUUAAGACCAAUUCACAGUCAUUCUGUCUGACCAAUUGCAUCUGGAAGGGAGGCAUUUCAUCUGUCAGUUCCUUCCACCCUUGUGCAGAAGACAGAUAUGUGGGCAUGGAAAGACUUUGCUAAUGAAGAAAGAUCAUCACCAUUACUGUUCCCUUUCAGGUUUCCCGCAGGGAUCAUUACCCCACUAUAAUUGAUAGCCUGAUUCAGCAAAGUACUUAGGUACAUAUUUUCUGAAUUAGGAGGUGAAGUUAGUGUUCCUGGUGUGGCUGUUUCAAAAUUUUAGGAUUGCAUUUCAGGCAUAGGUUGCUAUAAAAAUCUUCUCAGAGGCAAGAAAGAAAAUACCUGCAAGUGAAUGCAGGAAAGUGAGGUAUUUCUUGAAACCCACAACCUGCUUGACUUCUACAUGGAGUGGUUGUGCAGUUUAUUCACUUCUCUACCACUAUUUCUUCCUUCAUUAUUUCACAAACACAGAAAAUAGUACAUAUAGUAGCUAAUUCUGCGUGUGUAUCUGUAAGCCUGGGAAGGAAACAUCUGUCCCAGAUUGUUCCCAUUCCAGAAUUCACAUACGACAUGAGAAAAAAAAGGAGAAUGAUAAGGAGUUGCUCACCUCUAAGAUGAAGUAAAAAAUAAAACGACCCAAAACUUUUCCCAUGACAGAGUGAUAAAGUAUCUAUGCCAACAGUCUGCAUUCCUUUUUCUUCAGGCUACUUCAUCUUCCAACCCAAUGUUUGAUUGAACGUUAUCUUCACCUUAUGUCAAAAGAACAAGUCUAUGGGAUACUGGUAGCUUUCUCCAAAAAUCUGGAAAUUGACAAGAAUUUGGUGGCACUUACAGCAAAGGAAGAUUUGCACGAGCACAUAAAUUCAAUCAGCUAUUAAGAGACUGAAUCAAAGGAUGCAUCAAAAUGAAUGUUGCAUAUGGUAAAGAAAACCUAAGAUCCUAACUUUGUCUUUGAAAAUGGCAAUUGACAGUAUGUAUAUAAAUAUAUUUUCUGGCACUUAGCUUUUCAGCUACUGCAUGUAAUAAUCAUGAAAACAUACUUCAAGAAAAAUCAAUUGUUAAAGCUGUUGCUUCUCCUCACAUUGAAUCAAAAUAAUUAACAGAAGGUAAAACAUUUCCUGUGAAAAGUAUCUUUGCAGGUAUUUUUUCUCCAGUGAUCAUGGGAGAAACAUGCAGUCUUUCAAUAAUACGUAGAUGGUAAUUCAAAAUGCACUCUUAUUUUGUACUUUACUAUUGCUGUAUUAUUUUCUGUUGCAAGCAACUCUGUACCAACAGCUCAGAGAACUAUGAUAAAUGUUGCAUGGAUUUAUGCUUUGAUUUAUCCAAAUUUUGCAAUUCUUUCUGUUCUGAUCAUGAGCCUUUGAUUUCCAUUUUCACCCUGGGGUUAGGAACACGGCUGGAGCAGGUCAGGAAGGACUGCAAAGCUGAUAUCUUAUCCUCAGGAAUGGAUGCCUCAGCAGGUGGCUAAGAAAACAGUAAUCAUUUCAUGGUGCUCCCCCAGAAUAGCUUCUUAGUCAGUGAUUGUAGUGGAGGGAUUUCACAAAGAUGUGGUGUAUGACUCCAACAGCUCAGUGCUUUCUUCAGUAAAUCAGACCAGCCACAUCUGUAUCCAUAUAAAUACUGCUUCCAAACUUCUUGUGGCAAUAUAUCCCACAAUAGUUCACUCCCAGGAGUUGUACAGGCCUCAAAUCACAGGGCUUUAACUGCCUGAAACUACUACUUUGUCUGAUCACAGAUAAAACUGUUCUUCUUUUACAGAUUUCCUGAAAGCUGUGGUGCUGGCAAGGCUCAGAUUAGUAGCUGUGUGUUGGUGAUUCCUAAAUCCCUAGGAAAGGAUUUAUAUCGCUAGGGAAUAUAUCACUCCUGUGCCUUUUAUAUUUUUAUAUACAUUAUCCUGUACUCAUUAUGUGUUAUAGUCCCAAAUGGUUUACAUUUCAAGGCAUGAAACAGAUUCAAAUGGUCUCGGUUAAAAAUAUGUCUACCAGAAAAGUAGAUUUUUUUCCUUUCCUGUUGUAUAGAAUUUUUUACACCAAAAGCUAUCAAAGACAACGAAUGAAAUAUAUUAAAUUCUGCAGUAGAGUGUAUGCGCCAUCUCAUGUUGUGCAUUGUGUGCUCUGUCACGUUGUGCUAAUGUCACGGUUUAGUUUGAGUUUUAUAUAAUACAUGUAUCGACACCAUAAUAUUUCAAUCUUAUUUCUUGUUAUCUUACUUUAUUGCCAAUAAAUUACAGGAUUUAUAAUUCCCAAA
rnacentral:lncRNA from 1 species